rnacentral:tRNA from 1 species
GCCUUAGUGGUGUAGUGAUCAGCAAACUUGGCGUGUAUUCGAGAGGUCCGUGGUUCGAGUCCCGGCGAAGGCA